CCUGAAAUAACGGUAUAAUUACUCAAAUUAAAAUCAGACAAUUAAAUUAAAACAAUUCUACCUCUCAACUUCUCAAUUUACUCUUGUAUCUCCAAUUUCCCAACUUUUCUCCUUUCUAAUGAUUCAUCAUUUAAUCACCAUUUCAUUUUCAAUUCCAUUAAAUCACUUGUACUUCCUUAAAAUCAAUACCUUAUUCAUAUACAAUCCCUAUACACAAUUUAUUCCAAUACAUAAACUUCAACACUUGUCAUAUAACUUCAUUAAAACCUUUAAAAAUCCGAAAAUAAGAGUUUUGACAAAAACAGCACUAUAAUCCCAUAAUAUUGAAAUCUGGCACCAAUUUCUUUAUUUAAAUCUGGCAGCAAACCCUUUGACAGAAUUAGCACUAUUUUGGGCAGAUUUUCAAAAAUAACACCUAUGUAGGAUUUUGUCUAAAAAUUGCUUAUAAUAAUUACUUAAAAAUGGAGAAAUCAACCCUAAUUCCUUAAUUUAAAUGUUUAACAUCAUAUAAUCACAAAAAAAUUCAAAUAAUAUGUUUCUAUCUUACAAACCCAUUUCAAAAUUCAACUUUCUUCAACUUCAAUACUCAAAUAACAUUUCUUUGUUAUAUUCCUAUUUAUAACCUCAAAUACAUAUCAAUAACAACUAAUUAUUGCUAAACUUCGAAAUAAAAUAAAUUUUCCAUAAACCCCAAAAUUUUCAAUUCAAUAUACUUAUACUUACCAUUGUAAAACAAAAGAGAAAUUGAAGAAGUUGAGAACCCUAACUUGAAACCUCCUCCUCUUUCUUUUCUUUCUUCUUUUCUCUUUUCUUCCCCCUCUCUCUCAGCCCUUCUCUAUUUUUUUCCCAGAAAUGAGAAAAUGGAUAAUAUAUAUGGAUAAAUAUUGAAUAAUUGCAAGUCAAAUCCCCCAAUCUUCAUACAAUAUCACAUUUAGUUAUUUCAUUUCCCAUAAUAGAAACUAAAUCCUUGGAUUCCUUUAUUAUAUCAUUUCUAGCCCUGAAUUACUUGAAAUUACAAUUUAAGUCCCAUGAAAAUUAUUUGUUAAAUUUAAGCCCUUAUUGACUUUGACUUUGACCAAUCAUAUUUCUUGACUUUGACUAAAAAUGAGGGGUGUGACAAUCUUAACCACUUCAAAAAUGAAAGCAAAAAUAAUGAAUGAUUUAUCCAACAACCUUUAACAAGGCUCAAAGUUCAUUCUUUCAUUAUUAUGCUUUGAAUAACUUUCCUAAGAACCAAUAUAUGUUAUUCUCAACUUUUCAUUUAAAAUUUUUCAUUUCUUCUUCUCUACAAAUAUUCAUUCCCUGCAAUACCCAUAUACAUAUUCCGCUUAUCUUCUUCUCUUCUAAUUUUCCAUUUUCACUUUUCAAUUAUGACCAUAUAUAACACACAAUUUACUACUACAGUCUUCAAUUCCUCAUUCUUUUCUUUCCAUGUUUCACGUUUCAUCGUCAAUUUAAUUCUCUCAAGCACCACAAUUAUAUGUAGAGAGAAUCCAAAGUUUUGCACAACUUCAAAUAUACUUACUCAUACUAAAGUAAGAAACUUAAGCUUACCAAUUUCUUAAAUAAAGAAAGAAAAACACAACACCUAGAUUUUAUCUCUAUUCCCCCUUUUUUUUUAUUGGGCAUCAUCUCGACCACCUAACUUGUUUACCAUAACUAGUAUUCCAUCUUCCUUGGUAGUACAAUUUGAUGAUAUGUCCUUACUGACUUUAUGUAAUGUAUCCACAAAAUCCUGUGCACUAAAAUGACAUGCUCAAAACUACCUCAUAUCUAAUAGAACAUUAUUUCACCUUUUAGGCUCUAAGUACAAUAACAUGUCAUACAUGAAAUUUUUAUCAAAUCUUUAUGAUCAAAAUGAGAUAUUCUACUCAUGAAAUUCAACAUAUAACUGACAUGAUAGUCUUCCCAAAGGAAUCACAAAUAACUCUUAAAACUAAGCCAUAUUUAUAAUUUAAUACAUCGUCCUCAAUAACUUAUAAACCAACAUAAUAAACCCAAUAAUGGCUAGAGGAAAAUCAAUUCACAUUUUAACCAGACUAUACUAUAACAUAAUUCUGUUUAUGUAAAACUGUCCUAUCCUUUGUUUAUCACUAUUCACAAUGCCUUCCAUAAUAAAAUAACCUUUCUAAGUGAAAAUCAUCGUACCAUAUAACAACAAAAUUUAGUCAUGUCUCGUCUCCCAAGUUGAACAAGAUGAUUCAUCGUACUUAAUUUGUUGACCCUUAUUGAAAAUCAUUAUACCCAUAUUUAACGAUCCAAUAUCGAUAUUACUGUAUACCCAACUCACAACCUUAAUGGAUAUCCAUACCUCUCCUUAUUAUUUUCUUUCCUUUCUCAUUCUUUCGAUAAAUACACAUACUUAUGCAGAACCCAAUGCCAUUUCUUUCCUCAUAUCCUUAAAUUUAUGCUACUAUUGCAUAUAACAUGUACACAGUGAUUUAACACUAAUUCAUACUCUUUUCUUUCUACUCUUGGUCACUUCCGGCCACACAUGUCCCCAAUUAUAUAUUCCUAUCAAAGUUUUAUUUCCUUGAAUGGAACUCUUAAUCCUUCCAUCUAUUAUUCUUUUUUCCCCCACCAUUUUCCUUAACUGCUGUACUACCAUACAUAAUUCCACUUCACCAUAAAUUUCAUACUCUUUAUGUAAUCAUUUUCUAUCUCCUUGACCCCAAGUUUCUAUACCAAUAAGUAACCCAUUGAGUAAAUUUUUUUUUUCCUCUAACCUCAUUUGUCACUACUUAUCUUUCUCAUUUUGUAACCUAUCAUUUAAUUGGUCAAGACGACUAAGCCCAUCCUAGACUCUUCUCAAAGUACACAUGAAUGUUAAGCUCCUCAAUGCAUAAUAUACAUAAUAAAACAUUGUAUUUUAUUUAUCAACAUUCUAUAUAAUAUUAUCAUUUUGUCCUCUACAAAAUUCUUAUCAUAUAGCAUAAGAGUACACCCACAUGCUUUCUAUUCUCAUCCCAAACAAGUGGCUACGAUUCACCACAAUUAUCAAUAGCGCUAAUGGUAAUUUAGCUUCCCCAAAAUAAUUAAAAUCCUUCACUGAUUAUCUCCAAUUACACAAAUUAUAUCAUUUACCUAUAUUUAUUGGGCAAGCUAUAACCAAUGAUUUCCCUAUAUAUUAUGAUCUAAUCAACUCUUAAUAGGUUACAUGUACCACAGUUCCAAAUCAGCAACUAAUAAUAAUUUCAAUAAUCAGAUCAUUGCAACUAUCAUACUUACAUACUAUCCAUUUCUGGAUCCGUAAAAAAAAUAUUUUUAUAUCAUUUUUGGUUUUAUACAUUCGAGCUUGAGAGCCUGUGAUUUCCGCUACCACGACGUGUGACCACACGCACUGAAUAUGCAUGAUAUGCCAAUGCAUGAACUAUGAAGACUUUCAUAACUUUGUAAACAAUGCUUUGAUACCACUCUAACACGCCUCGUCCCGAAUCACCCUAAUGGACUAGGAACGUGACGUGCGCCGAUGAUAGAUGCUGACUAGAUGUCAGAUCCACCACCAAGGCUGACUAUGACUUACUACAAAAUAGCGCCAAAAUCAAAUAUUUAUGAAAAACAUAAUGCAAUGGGCCCGAAACGAUUACUUUUUGUUUUACCAAAAUGAAUCGUGUCACUCAAUAUGUCGUGUGGCUCUAAUUCUAAAAACCACCAGGCUCCUCAAGCUAUCAGAGACCAAUACUACCUAUAAGAAAAAUCGUGGAAAAAUAUGAGUUUAUAGCUCAGUGAAUGGAAGAGUUUGAAAAUAAUUAUACUUUCUCAUUUAAACAUUUUUACCCAACAUCAAGUUCAUAUCGUUUAGUAAUUCACACAAUAGUAGCAAAAAAAUGAGACAUUCUCAUAACUCUGUAAAUAUCAUCUCAUAUCCACGAUAUAAUCAUCAGCUGAUAUCUAUACAUCAUCUCAUAACAUCACAUGUAAUCCACCAAAAAUGUACCAUUUAACUAAAAUCUAUAGUCCCCCUUCGAGCUAAGAACUUUUACUACGGGCCUUUGGCCCUAUCCAUGAACGAAAGCCGAUCUCAAGACCUCUGGUGAUCAAUUCUAAAACACGGUCAAUGCCUCUCUGUGAACUAUAUGUACAUGAUCAAAACCAAUGUCAGGUCAAGACCCCUCCAUGUAUGAUAGAACACAGUCAAGACCCCUCAGUAAACUAGAAGAAAUAUAUAAUCAUGGAUACUUUUCUGGUCGAUCUCAAAGUCACAUCUCAUAUUCCAAUUCACAAUGUAUCGUAUAUAAUCUUUGAAAUCCCACAUACAUUAUAAUAAAAGAUAUUUCCGUAAUAACCAUAUAAUUCGAACACAUAAUUGCACAUACUUUGAUAAUAUACCUAAUUCAUAAAUACUUUAAAAAUAUUUAUAUUUUUUCACUCACAGAUCCAUGGAUAGAAAUCUGGCUCAAUUAACGAGCUAUUCCUAGCUUUCAUGUCCCUACCUGAAAAAUGGUCUAAUUACACAAUUAAAAUUAGACAAUUAAAUUAAUACAAUUCUACAUCUCAACUUCUCAAUUUCUAUAUUUACUAUUACAUCUUCAAUUUCCCAAUUUUUCUCCUCUCUAAUGAUUUAUCAACUAAUCACCAUUUAUUUUCAAUUCCAUUAAAUCACUUGUACUUCCUUAAAAUCAAUACCUUAUUCAUAUACAACCCCUAUACACAAUUUAUUCCAAUACAUAAACUUCAACACUUGUCAUAUAACUUCAUUAAAACCUUUAAAAAUCCGAAAAUAAGAGCUUUGACAAAAACAGCACUAUAAUCCCAUAAUAUUGAAAGCUGGCACCAAUUUCGUUAUUUAAAUUUGGCAGCAAAACCUUUGACAGAAUUAGCACUAUUCUGGGCAGGUUUUUGGAAAUAACACCUAUGUAGGAUUUUGUCCAAAAAUUGCUUAUAAUAAUUACUUAAAAAUGGAGAAAUCAACCCUAAUUCCUUA
rnacentral:lncRNA from 1 species